GGAAGGGUGGCAGAGUGGUCUAUCGCACCGGUCUUGAAAACCGGAGAGGGCGCAAGUCCUCCGUGGGUUCGAAUCCCACCCCUUCCG
rnacentral:tRNA from 1 species